rnacentral:rRNA from 1 species
GUACGGGAGGCAGCAGGGGGAAUAUUGCACAAUGGGCGCAAGCCUGAUGCAGCCAUGCCGCGUGUAUGAAGAAGGCCUUCGGGUUGUAAAGUACUUUCAGUCGUGAGGAAGGUGUUAAGGUUAAUAACCUUAGCAAUUGACGUUAGCGACAGAAGAAGCACCGGCUAACUCCGUGCCAGCAGCCGCGGUAAUACGGAGGGUGCGAGCGUUAAUCGGAAUUACUGGGCGUAAAGGGCACGCAGGCGGUUAAUUAAGUUGGAUGUGAAAUCCCCGGGCUUAACCUGGGAAUGGCAUUCAAGACUGGUUAGCUAGAGUCUUGUAGAGGGGGUAGAAUUCCAUGUGUAGCGGUGAAAUGCGUAGAGAUGUGGAGGAAUACCGGUGGCGAAGGCGGCCCCUGGACAAAGACUGACGCUCAUGUGCGAAAGCGUGGGGAGCAAACAGGGAUUAGAUACC